AACAUAACGAAUCUAUACUGAAGGUGAUCUCUUAUCCACCACUAGAGGUCAGUAUUAUCAAGUAGGUGUUUAACUUUUUCAUCAACAUGUUUUGCCAUUGGGUCUUUAACAGCUGGUACCAUGAAAAUAGUAAAUGUGACACUUGAGCUGAACACCAGAUCGUUUCCCCUGUUGCUGUAGACCUGCUGUUGGGAUGGAAACCUGGCUGUGGAUUAUUAUUGCCGCACUUCUAUCUGAGUGUAAAGCAGAAGACGGAGUGAUCCAGCCCAGAGAGGAUGUCAUAGCUACUGAAGGACUCACAGUUAGUCUUCGCUGUACAUUUAAGACCACUGACACUAAUGCGUAUUUGUUCUGGUACAAACAACAAAUCAACGACCUCCCCAGGUUCAUGCUACGACGCUUUACAAUUGGAGAAGGAGAUAAUGCUGCAGAGUUCCACAAAGACAGAUUUGAUGCCAAAAUCCAAAACAAAUUAGUUCCUCUGAGGAUCCAGAACCUGCAGCUGUCAGACUCUGCUCUGUACUACUGUGCUCUGAGGCCCACAGUGACAGGAAACACAGACUCCCCGUACAAAAACCUGCUGAGCACAGAACACUCUUCCAUCUACCCCUGAGAUCAGUAUACCAACAUUACACACAAAACACAUUAGCUCAUCAUAACAAUGACUCCUAAUUAAUGGUACAUUUUCAACACAAGAUACCCUAAAAUGUGUCUGCAUUUUUUGUCUUGACAUUAUCUUGUUUGAAAUAUUCACGUUCAAAUUGUUUAUUUUAUUUGUGUCGAAUCCGUACCUCAUUGAAGGUGAAGUUGAGUUUUCAUAUCCACCACUAGAUAUCAGUAUUAUCAAGUAGUUGCUGAACUAUUUAUUAAACAUGUUUGUCCAUUGUGUCUUUAUCAGCUAGUACCCUGGAAAGAAUAAGUCUAAUACUUGAGCUGAACACCAGAUCGUUUCUUCUGUUGCUGUAGACCUGCUGUUGAGAUGGAAACAUGGCAGUGUAUUAAUAUGGCCACACUUCUAUCUGGUAGGAUGGAUACCUCAUGUGUCACCCAUAUGUCUGAAUCAUGAUGAUUGGAUGUUUUAGAUAUUUUAUUCUGAUGUUUUUUUUUUCAUCUUUAUUUUAUUUUUUUUCAUAAAAUGUCUUGAGAUCACAUUGAUAGAAAAUGUGGAGGAGCCUUUACACAAACCUGAAGGCCAUGAUAUCCCUAUUCUUCAAAGAGGAGGGAAGUUGUAAUCCGACCACACCUUUCUAUCAGAUGGAUGGUGGAUCUUCGUGGUUUAUCAGAGACACUGUGGUUGCACCUACUAAUGAUCCACAGUAGCAGGAAUCUGACUGAAUUAUAACUUUUUGAUCCAUUGAAUCGUGCCAGUGAAUUAUUUUGCAUGAAUGAUGAAGAGGAGGGGCCACUGCUGUCAAUGUCCUUCUGCAUCAGAGCAUAAAUGGUCUUCCUCUCUCUUCCCCUCCCGCUGUAGACAUGGAACACUGGCUGACAAUCAUCCUGGUUCUUACUCUCUGGCUGGGUAACUCUUUAAAGACUCUUUUUGGCCCUCCUCUCAUUAUUGAUCUCAAUUGAUUAAUUCAUUGAUACACAUAUUCUGUUCUUCCCCAGAGUGUAAAGGAGAAGACAGAGUGACCCAGACCAUAGGAGAUUUCAUUGCCACUGAAGGACUCAGUUAGUCUUGACUGUACAUUUGAGACUACUGACACUAAUCCAUAUUUGUUCUGGUACAAACAACAAAUCAACGACUUCCCCAGGUUUGUGCUA